rnacentral:rRNA from 1 species
UUGGGACUUCAAAAGGAGUUAAACCUCUAUCACUGACCCCCAAAGCCAGCAUUUUUAAUUAAACUAUGUCCUGCUUUUGUAGCUUAAUACAAAGCGUGACGCUGAAAACGCCAAGAUGAUCCUUAAAAAGAUCCUGAAAGCACAAAGGCUUGGUCUUGGCCUUAUUAUCAACUAUUUCUCAGCCUACACAUGCAAGUAUCAGCAUACCAGUGAGGACGCCCUUAUCCCCUAAAAUAGGCUUAGGAGCUGCCAUCAGGCACAGAAAACUUGCCCAUAACACCUAGUCUCACCACACCCUCAAGGGUACUCAGCAGUGACAAAAAUUGAUAUAUAAGCGCCAGCUUGACUCAGCUAAAGAAAAGUAGGGUCGGCAAACAUCGGUGCCAGCCGCCGCGGUUAAACCACAGGACCCAAGUUGAUAACAUACGGCGUCAAGCGUGAUUAGAGUUAUUAAAUAAAUAGAAUUAAACUGAUAUGUAGCUGUGAAAAGCAGCUGUAAAGGAAACACAGUAACGAAAGUGAUUCUACCUAUCUCGAAUACACGACAGCUGGGAAACAAACUAGGAUUAGAUACCCUACUAUGCCCAACCGUAAAAUCAUUCACACCACACACGCCAGGGCAUUACGAGCUUAGCUUAAAACCCAAAGGACUUGACGGUGUCCCACCCCACUAGAGGAGCCUGUCCUAGAAUCGAUAAUCCUCGUUAAACCUUACCACUUCUUGCUUGAUUCAGUUAGUAUACUUCCGUCGUAAGCUUACCAUAUGAGUGUUAGUAGUAGGCCUAAUGAUAAUACAUCAGUACGUCAGGUCAAGGUGCAGCAUAAGAGGUGGGCUGAGAUUGGCUACAAUUUCUAAUCUAGAACACACGGAACAUUUAAUGAAAUACAAAUGCAAAGGGGGAUCUAGUAGUAAAA